UACGAAGGGGGCUAGCGUUGUUCGGAAUUACUGGGCGUAAAGCGCACGUAGGCGGCUUUUUAAGUCAGGGGUGAAAUCCUGGAGCUCAACUCCAGAACUGCCUUUGAUACUGAGAAGCUUGAGUCCGGGAGAGGUGAGUGGAACUGCGAGUGUAGAGGUGAAAUUCGUAGAUAUUCGCAAGAACACCAGUGGCGAAGGCGGCUCACUGGACCGGUACUGACGCUGAGGUGCGAAAGCGUGGGGAGCAAACAGG
rnacentral:rRNA from 1 species